rnacentral:rRNA from 1 species
CCUGGCUCAGGAUGAACGCUAGCUACAGGCUUAACACAUGCAAGUCAGGGGCAGCAUGUGGUUGCUUGCAACCAAUGAUGGCGACCGGCGCACGGGUGAGUAACGCGUAUCCAACCUUCCCCUUAGUAGAGGAUAGCCCGGCGAAAGUCGGAUUAAUACUCUAUGUUCUUCAAUGCGGGCAUCUAAGUUGAAGCAAAGAUUUAUCGCUAAGGGAUGGGGAUGCGUCUGAUUAGGUUGCAGGCGGGGUAACGGCCACCUGGCCUACGAUCAGUAGGGGUUCUGAGAGGAAGGUCCCCCACACUGGUACUGAGACACGGACCAGACUCCUACGGGAGGCAGCAGUGAGGAAUAUUGGUCAAUGGGCGCGAGCCUGAACCAGCCAAGUAGCGUGCAGGGAACCGACUGCCCUAUGGGUUGUAAACUGCUUUUAUCAGGGAAUAAAGUGAGGCACGCGUGCCUUUUUGUAUGUACCUGAUGAAUAAGGACCGGCUAAUUCCGUGCCAGCCGCAGC